UGGGGAAUAUUGGACAAUGGGCGAAAGCCUGAUCCAGCAAUGCCGCGUGUGCGAUGAAGGCCUUAGGGUUGUAAAGCACUUUCAGUGGGGAAGAAGGCAAUGGUACUAAUACCAUCAUUGCUUGACGUUAUCCACAGAAGAAGCACCGGCUAACUCUGUGCCAGCAGCCGCGGUAAUACAGAGGGUGCGAGCGUUAAUCGGAAUUACUGGGCGUAAAGGGCUCGUAGGCGGGUAUUUAAGUCAGAUGUGAAAGCCUCAGGCUCAACCUGAGAACUGCAUUUGAAACUGGGUACCUAGAGUAUGGUAGAGGAAAGUGGAAUUUCCAGAGUAGCGGUGAAAUGCGUAGAUACUGGAAGGAACACCAGAGGCGAAGGCGACUUUCUGGACCAAUACUGACGCUGAGGAGCGAAAGCGUGGGGAGCAAACAGG
rnacentral:rRNA from 1 species